rnacentral:misc_RNA from 1 species
GAAAUGCGAUAAGUAGUGUGAAUUGCAGACAUCAGUGAAUCAUCGAAUUUUUGAACGCACAUUGCGCCCUUUGGUAUUCCGAAGGGCAUGCCUGUUCGAGCGUCAUUUGCAUCCUCAAGCACGGCUUGGUUUUGGGCGUUUUGUCUGCCACAGACUCGCCUCAAAGACAUCGGCUGCCGGCCAAUCCACCAGGCGCACAGUACAUUGUGUUCGUCUGGAGGGCUGUUGUGGCGCGCCGUUUCCAAACCAUCUCAAAGUUUGACCUCGGAUCAGGUAGGAAUACCCGCUGAACUUAA